rnacentral:sRNA from 1 species
UUUAGUGUAAGUCUGAACUGGACGCCUA